rnacentral:rRNA from 1 species
UGAGGCCUUCGGACUGGCCCAGGGAGGUCGGCAACGACCACCCAGGGCCGGAAAGUUGGUCAAACCCGGUCAUUUAGAGGAAGUAAAAGUCGUAACAAGGUCUCCGUAGGUGAACCUGCGGAGGGAUCAUU